GACGAACGCUGGCGGCGUGCUUGACACAUGCAAGUCGAACGGAAAGGCCUGCUUUCCCUUGUGGAUUGCGGGUACUCGAGUGGCGAACGGGUGAGUAACACGUGAGUGAUCUGCCCCCAACUUGGGUAUAAGCCUGGGAAACUGGGUCUAAUUCCCGAUAGGACUGCAGGGUGGUGCCUGUGGUGGAAAACGAUUUUCUAGUGGUUGGGGAUGAGCUCGCGGCCUAUCAGCUUGUUGGUGGGGUAAUGGCCUACCAAGGCGGCGACGGGUAGCCGGCCUGGGAGGGUGGACGGCCACAUUGGGACUGAGAUACGGCCCAGACUCCUACGGGAGGCAGCAGUGGGGAAUAUUGCACAACGGGCGGAAGCCUGAUGCAGCGACGCCGCGUGGGGGAUGACGGCUUUCGGGUUGUAAACUCCUUUCGACCGCGAGGAAGCCACCUGGUUGGAAGGGUGGUGACGGUAGUGGUAGAAGAAGCACCGGCUAACUACGUG
rnacentral:rRNA from 1 species